rnacentral:lncRNA from 10 species
GUAGCCUUCGCAAUAUGCUGAGAGCUCUGUGACUCCAAGAAACUGUGGAGAGUGGAGAGGAAAUGGGAGAUGGUUACGCUUCCGAAAAGCACCUUUCAGAUUAUGCCUUCAGAGCUAAUGAUGGCACACACCUGCUAAGGAAGACUGGCUGCAGAAUGUCUCUGAUUCCCCAGCACACACCCAUGGGGGUUUCGCUCUGUUGCCCAGGCUGGAGCGCAGCGGCAUGAUCUCGGCUCACUGCAACCUCCACCUCCCGGGUUCAAGUGAUUCUUCUGCCUCAGCCACCAAGGCGGGCGUCCCAAAGUGCUGGGAUUACAGGUGUGAGCCACUGCACCUGGCUUAGAAAUCUUUUCAUUCUUUCAACAUGAAUCCUGCUCUUAGAAUCACAGAGUACAAAGCUUCCUGGUACAGGUGGGGAAACUGAGGCUCCGAGUUGCCUAUCUGAUUCUGAGGACACAGCACCCCCCACCAGCACACCUGGCACUUGCUUUGUAUAUUAGUGUCAUUCGGCACAAGUUAGUGGAAAAUAAAAGCAUAAU